rnacentral:rRNA from 1 species
CCCUUAGAUGUCCGGGGCUGCACGCGCGCUACACUGUAGGAAUCAGCGUGCUAAAACCAUUGUCGAAAGGCAUUGGUAAACCCAUUAAAAUCCUACGUGAUUGGGAUCGGGAAUUGCAAUUAUUUCCCUUGAACGAGGAAUUCCCAGUAAGUGUGGGUCAUAAGCUCGCGUUGAUUACGUCCCUGCCCUUUGUACACACCGCCCGUCGCUGCCCGGGACUGAGCCGUUUCGAGAAAAGCGGGGACUGCUGCUGUCGGGGCUUUCGGGCCUUGGCUUCGGUGGAAACCGCUUUAAUCGCAGUGGCUUGAACCGGGCAAAAGUCGUAACA